UUUUGUAUAAUGGGUCAGCGACUUAUAUUCUGUAGCAAGGUUAACCGAAUAGGGGAGCCGAAGGGAAACCGAGUCUUAACUGGGCGUUAAGUUGCAGGGUAUAGACCCGAAACCCGGUGAUCUAGCCAUGGGCAGGUUGAAGGUUGGGUAACACUAACUGGAGGACCGAACCGACUAAUGUUGAAAAAUUAGCGGAUGACUUGUGGCUGGGGGUGAAAGGCCAAUCAAACCGGGAGAUAGCUGGUUCUCCCCGAAAGCUAUUUAGGUAGCGCCUCGUGAAUUCAUCUCCGGGGGUAGAGCACUGUUUCGGCAAGGGGGUCAUCCCGACUUACCAACCCGAUGCAAACUGCGAAUACCGGAGAAUGUUAUCACGGGAGACACACGGCGGGUGCUAACGUCCGUCGUGAAGAGGGAAACAACCCAGACCGCCAGCUAAGGUCCCAAAGUCAUGGUUAAGUGGGAAACGAUGUGGGAAGGCCCAGACAGCCAGGAUGUUGGCUUAGAAGCAGCCAUCAUUUAAAGAAAGCGUAAUAGCUCACUGGUCGAGUCGGCCUGCGCGGAAGAUGUAACGGGGCUAAACCAUGCACCGAAGCUGCGGCAGCGACACUAUGUGUUGUUGGGUAGGGGAGCGUUCUGUAAGCCUGCGAAGGUGUGCUGUGAGGCAUGCUGGAGGUAUCAGAAGUGCGAAUGCUGACAUAAGUAACGAUAAAGCGGGUGAAAAGCCCGCUCGCCGGAAGACCAAGGGUUCCUGUCCAACGUUAAUCGGGGCAGGGUGAGUCGACCCCUAAGGCGAGGCCGAAAGGCGUAGUCGAUGGGAAACAGGUUAAUAUUCCUGUACUUGGUGUUACUGCGAAGGGGGGACGGAGAAGGCUAUGUUGGCCGGGCGACGGUUGUCCCGGUUUAAGCGU
rnacentral:rRNA from 1 species